GAGUUUGAUCAUGGCUCAGAACGUACGCUGGCGGCACGCCUUAUACAUGCAAGUCGAACGAAGUAGCAAUACUUAGUGGCAGACGGGUGAGUAACAUGUGGGUAUCUUCCCUUUGGUGAGGAAUAACACGAGGAAACUUGUGCUAAUACCUCAUAAGUCUUUACGGAGAAAGCUUUAUGCGCCAAUGGAUGAGCCCGCACUUGAUUAGUUUGUUGGUGGGGUAAUGGCCUACCAAGACUUUGAUCAAUAGCUGAUUUGAGAGGAUGAUCAGCCACAUUGGGACUGAGACACGGCCCAAACUCCUACGGGAGGCAGCAGUAGGGAAUCUUGCACAAUGGAGGAAACUCUGAUGCAGCGAUGCCGCGUGAGUGAAGAAGGCCCUUGGGUUGUAAAGCUCUUUCGUCGGGGAAGAAAAUGACUGUACCCGAAUAAGAAGGUCCGGCUAACUUCGUGCCAGCAGCCGCGGUAAUACGAAGGGACCUAGCGUAGUUCGGAAUUACUGGGCUUAAAGAGUUCGUAGGUGGUUAAAAAAGUUGGUUGUGAAAUCCCGGAGCUUAACUCCGGAACUGCAAUCAAAACUUUUUAGCUAGAGUAUGAUAGAGGAAAGCAGAAUUUCUAGUGUAGAGGUGAAAUUCGUAGAUAUUAGAAAGAAUACCAAUUGCGAAGGCAGCUUUCUGGAUCAUUACUGACACUGAGGAACGAAAGCAUGGGUAGCGAAGAGGAUUAGAUACCCUCGUAGUCCAUGCCGUAAACGAUGUGUGUUAGACGUUGGAAAUUUAUUUUCAGUGUCGCAGGGAAACCGAUAAACACACCGCCUGGGGAGUACGACCGCAAGGUUAAAACUCAAAUGAAUUGACGGGGACCCGCACAAGUAGUGGAGCAUGUGGUUUAAUUCGAAGAUACGCGCAGAACCUUACCAACACUUGACAUGUUCGUCGCGACUCUAAGAGAUUAGAGUUUUCGGUUCGGCCGGACGAAACACAGGUGCUGCAUGGCUGUCGUCAGCUCGUGUCGUGAGAUGUUGGGUUAAGUCCCGCAACGAGCGCAACCCUCACUUUUAGUUGCCAUCAUUUAGUUGGGCACUCUGAAAGAACUGCCAGUGAUAAGCUGGAGGAAGGUGGGGAUGACGUCAAGUCCUCAUGGCCCUUACGUGUUGGGCUACACACGUGCUACAAUGGUAUCUACAACAGGAAGCAAGACGGCGACGUUAAGCAAAUCCUUAAAAGAUACCUCAGUUCGGAUUGCACUCUGCAACUCGAGUGCAUGAAGCUGGAAUUACUAGUAAUCGUGGAUCAGCGUGCCACGGUGAAUGCGUUCCCGGGUCUUGUACACACCGCCCGUCACACCAUGGGAGUUGGUUCUACCUUAAGGCAAGGUUUAAAACCCUUGACCACGGUAUAGUCAGCGACUGGGGUGAAGUCGUAACAAGGUAGCCGUAGGG
rnacentral:rRNA from 1 species